CGGUCGAUCUCGCACCGUGGGCUGUGCCUUCCAGGUUUGCGUGGAAAAGUUUGUGGUGCAGAGCAGUAAAUGUGGAGAUGUGCAGGAGCACGAUUACAACAGCCGUCCAGUCCCAGUGCUCUUGCUGAGGCAUGGGAAAAAUAAAGGAGCUGGAAAAAACACCUGCUAGUGACAUCAGCAUCAUCUACUCACCUGCUAGUGACAUCAGCAUCAUCUACUCACCUGCUAGUGACAUCAGCAUCAUCUACACACCUGCUAGUGACAUCAGCAUCAUCUACACACCUGCUAGUGACAUCACCAUCAUCUACACACCUGCUAGUGACAUCAGCAUCAUCUACACACCUGCUAGUGACAUCACCAUCAUCUACACACCUGCUAGUGACAUCAGCAUCAUCUACUCACCUGCUAGUGACGUCAGCAUCAUCUACUCACCUGCUAGUGACAUCAUGCUUCUCUUCACCUGCUAGUAACUUGUCUGCUUUGUGAUAAGCAAAUGUUGCUAUCUUCCAAUUCUGAACACAUCAGAAAUCACCAACCCCUCCUGACAUAUCUUUCCAGUUUGGGUUUUGCAUGGUCCCCAAUAAACUCAACGUGGGAUGCCUCUCCGAUUUCUUUCACAUCAGGGCACUUAACCUCUACCAGGCCACAGGGAGGUUCUUCGUUUGGGUCCACCACUUUGCCAUCUGCACCAAGGUGUGGAGCAUCAGGGUGGAUGAUGAGACCAGAUGGAAGAACGUUAACGUCAAAGGUCUCCUCAUAGCGGUGAAGAACCUCUGGCUCAAGUUUUAAUCCUCUACACAUCGCUCUCUAGAGACCCCCACAGAUGUUUACACACUGUUUAAUGCAAGAUAUAAAUGCAUUUAACCUGCAAUUACAAAUACAUAAUGUUUUGAUGUUUUAAUCCCAAAAUGUUGAAUACUGAUAUUUGCAAUGAUAAAAGAAAGUGCUUUAAGAGGUGAAAUUAAAAACACCAAUAUCUAGACAAUCAUGAAUUGUAACAUCACUUCCUUUAAUAUUUUUACUAUGCAGUUGAUAUGGAAUUUGUAUUGUGUUGAAAUGCUUAUACAAGAUAAAUAUGUAGUUAACUUUAAAGUAUAUCUACAUUUCUUGGUAUAUGAACAUUCUGAGUGAUUUUAUUACACUAAUAUACAAUCAGACAUCCCAAUUUCUAUUUUGGUAAAGUCAUUAAGUGUCAUGUCAUUCAGAUGAAUUAGAAUUUAAUUUGGGGUCCUGAAAUACCCUGAACACUGCACCAAGGUUAAUAUGACCAUUGCUACAUAAAUAAACUAAAAAUCGAAACUCAUCCUAUUUUGUUUUAAUUUUCCCUUAC